ACUCACUAAAUACCCUCCACUGUCAAAUGGAGGGAGUGACAGAAACAAAACAGUUUGUGUGUGAGAGUUAUAGGUGUAUUCUGUGCUACAAACCAGGAAAUGAAUAGAAUAUCUGCUUGCUAGAAUAUCUAUUCCAAACUAGUACCACCUUAUCAGGAGGAUGCCAGAGUGUAGCGGUGUUAUGGGAGAGGAGUAUGAAUCUGUGCCGCUGCAGCCCUUUCUACACCAGGUCAGUGGACACACGGGGAUGUUCCAGUACGACGACAAGACUGUGUGUAAACCACUGAACGUACGGGAAUACAACUUUUACCUCAACGUACCACACAACCUUAAGCAGUUCACUGCAGAGUUCAGAGGAACUAUAGAAGUGGAGAUUCACGAGGACAGUGACGGGUAUGUGACAAUCCUGGGUCAUCGACCCACGUCCACUGACUGGCAGAAAUCAUCCAAGUGUGAAAACUUCUCCGAGAGGGCUUCACAGAAAGUCAAGAAAGAAGAAGGACAACACAGCUUACGACUUCUAAGAAGUGGCAGUGUUGAGGUUAGUACUCAGACUGACCAGGUUUUUGACUCGCAAGACUCAACAAAUAAAACAGAAAACAUCAAUCCCUGGAGCCUGCGUUGUCAUAAGAAGACGCUGACCAAAUUGAGGAAAGCCAACCAGGGGCCGGUCACUCACUGCAAAUUCAUCUUGUUGGAGAAUGUGGCAGCUCAGUACUGUCACCCAAGCAUCCUGGACCUGAAGAUGGGCACGCGCCAACACGGGGCUCCAACCCGGUGGAUGUGCGCAUGAUUGACUUUGCCCACAGCACCCACAGUGGGUUCCAGAAUGACACGACUGUCCACUCGGGCCCAGAUCAGGGCUAUUUGUACGGACUAAAGAAUCUUAUUGACGUUUUCACUGACAUGAGAUGAGUUGUCGUCUUGGGAAAAUUGAUAAUUCUGUCGUUCUGAGAGGAGAAAGCCAGUGAGUGUGCAUUGUUUGCAUGCACAAGAGUACAUGUGCAUGUAUUCUGACAGAGUAUGAGAACUCUGAUCCAAUGGAAAUAGUACACAAGUCAUAGACAUAUACACGUUUUAUAGAUAUAUAGAUAUUACCAGAACCUUUUAUCAUUUUGGCAAAUGAGUGGAUAUUAUUUCUUCAGAUCACUUAGGCUCAUUAAGGCAUAUACCGGUAAACUAUCCUGAUGAAUGGAUAUAAACUAUUAUUAUUAUAGACUCACAAAAGGAUAUAAAAUCCUUCAUAUCAUAGACUGAAAAAAUGGAUAUAAACCUUUCAUAUCACUAUAGGCUAGAUAAUGGAUAUGAAAACCUCAUAAAGUUAUAGACUGAUGGAUAUGAGCACAUUAUUAAUGCAUACAUAUAGGCUGAUAGUUAAACCUUCCUCAUCAUGUGCACCGGUAAAUGGAUGUAAUGACUCUUGCCUCAUAAUAGACAUGGAUAUAGAUACUUUGUAGGUACUGGUACACAUAAAUACCUUGAACAUUGUUAUAGUUGAUCAAAGGGACAUAAACCUCACACAUUAUUAUGGACUCACCACUGAUACAUGUACAUAUUUAUUGUUAUAUUUUGGUUUUGUACAGAGUUGAUGUUUGUUAUUUGUGAUACAUGACAUUAACUGAGGGAUGCAUGUACUCCUCUUUUGUUCUUCAUAUUGGAGAAUUCAUUUAAACUUUUAUAAAUACACCAGAAAACACAGAGUUGUUGUCAGGUUUUAAAACAGAGCUUAGUUUUAGUUUUAUUUUCUCAAAAAGAAACUGGGAGCUUUUGUUAUUACUUCCAUGUCUUGUUAUUGCAACUCAAUUAUUCAACUUUUUUUUUAAAAAGAAGUUUUUUGU
rnacentral:misc_RNA from 1 species